UAAUCGAUCUCCUAUAAAGUCUUCUUUGAGCCUUGUGAACCAACAUAUAUUUAUUGUCUAGAAAAGAAAGAUGGCUAAUUCCAAUGUAGGUAUGAAGAACAAGAUUCGAGGUCUAUUUGAAUCCCUCAUUUCAUGUGGAAAACCUGUUAAAGGUAUGAUUUGAGAACUAUAUUAUAUCUUGAAUAGAAAAUUUUCAUUCCCUUUCAUAAUUUUCAUUAAUUUUUGAAAAUUCAUGUUAUUCAGAAAGGUUUACUUAUGACAAUGUAAAUAAUGUUUACUAUUCAUACAAUUUAAUCUAUCAUAACAGGUUAUUUAUUUUAUUUUCAUAUUCCCUCUAUAUAUCUCAAAUGUCGUGAUUUCUAAAAAUAGUUAUCUCAAUUUUUUGGUCAUUUUAGAAGUUUAAGAUAAAAUAAAUUAUAUUUUUCUUAUUAAUCCCUUAAUAGUAAUUGUUGUUGAAAAAUGAGAUAACACGUAAAUAGAAUAAAUAUUUAACGAAGAGAAAUAAUAUCUUAAGACAUAAAUAAUGGUAAAAUAGUCUAAAUUUUCUCCUAAUUAUUUUUUUUAAGGGGCGUGUAAAAGAAAAACACGACGGAUUAGUUGAGACGGACAAAGUAGCUUAUAUGAUCUUAUCUAUAGGCCAACUUCAUUUGAUGGCGUAAAAUAAAUACAAUCAUUUUUAGUAACGCAAAAAUUCAUUAUGAAUAUUAUUGGGAAAUAAGUUUGGUACUACAGAAAAAAACAGGAACUAGUAUCGGACGAAUCCCAUUACUAAAUAGCAUAUUUUCGUCAUUAAACUCAUCUCAGCUACGAAUGAUUUAGCGAUAGUGAUGAAUUUUAUAGCUAAUUCUGAUUUUAUAUGUCUUCAUCAACUUUGUUAUAACCAGGAAAUGGCCCAGGACAAGAGCUACCAAUGGCAGAAGCAGAAAAUAUACAAGGGAAAGUAGUAAUAGGGGAAGCAGAAGAAAAUGCAAAAGGGCCAGAGUUAGCAGAAAAAGAUAAAGAUGAAGCAGAA
rnacentral:lncRNA from 1 species